GGAUGUAAGGGUGAACUGGCUCUACUAUUGAUCAGCACAGUUGAUUCAGCUUAUCUGGCUGACUAGAUAGGUGCCCCCUUCCUCCCUCAUUCCUUCACUCCCAGAGUGAAACCUCACAGCCGAAGAGGACAGCUUUCCCAGGAAAGGAAGAUCAUUACCAAAGGGUAUUGUGAAUAGAUACACUCUCCUGCUACACCUGCAAACAAGCUGCCAGGGUCCUUUUGUAGGAGAUGUGAAGUAAUCAAGCUUCUAAGACUUAGACACAUCCAAAUGUGGUACAUGUCGUAGUCUGCCUUU
rnacentral:snRNA from 1 species